AUACGGAGGGUCCGAGCGUUAUCCGGAAUCAUUGGGUUUAAAGGGUCCGUAGGCGGGAAUCUAAGUCAGUGGUGAAAUCUUGCAGCUCAACUGUAAGAUUGCCAUUGAUACUGGAUUUCUUGAAUUAGUGUGAAGUGGUUAGAAUGUGUAGUGUAGCGGUGAAAUGCAUAGAUAUUACACAGAAUACCAAUUGCGAAGGCAGAUCACUAACACUAUAUUGACGCUAAGGGACGAAAGCGUGGGGAGCGAACAGGAUUAGAAACCCUGGUAGUCC
rnacentral:rRNA from 1 species